AUUUCUGUGCAAAGUUAGUGGGAAAAAUGAUUAAUAGACCAGUGAUGUGAUAUUAUCUCCAGAAAUUAUCACAGGGUAACUGGCAUCUUAGUAACUAAAGUACAAAGUAUUAAUGAGAAAUAAGAGAGAAGAAAAAAAAAGACAACAAAGAUGGACAGAUUUUAGACUAGGAAGGGAAUGCAAUAAAAAAAAUAGAUUUCUGUUUACUGUAGCAAACAAUCUACAAAAGGAGUUCUGCAGAUUGAACAGCAUCUGUGGGAGGAAAGGCAUUGUUGAUGUGUUAAGAAAAAACCCUGCUUCAGGUCUCCAGAUUGUACUUUCUAACUAUGAUUAGGUUGGAAAUGGAGCAGAACAGAGUGGGGAAAAAAUCUUUUUCGCACAGUAUGCAACAAAACUAUUCUUGAACCUUCUAUGUUCAAUAAUAUAACCAAUGAUGUGCCACGCUAGAUGAUCUGAGCAGGACUGGAAGUUAUAAAACUGAUUUCUGCUGAAUUUCCCCACCUCUGAUCUUAAUGCUUCCAUUAUCUGGCUGAGACUUGUGAAAUACUUACAAAUUCCUGUCACUCUUGCAUAUUUUUCCCUAUAAAAUUUAUUCAAAUGUUUCUAUUUGUGCUGUUUUCCAGUAAAAAUGCACAUUUGAGUCAUCAGAUCAAAGACAUACUCAGUGUUAAAAGGGCCUUUGGACUCAUUUAGAAUUGGUCAUCAACUGAAAGUAUAAAUUAUAGACUGAAGAUGGCACACCAUAAGAUCCUGUCUGUGAUGCCCAAUGAAAAUAAUUAUCUGCGGCUGCAAAAAGGGAGCACGACCAUGUUGGAGACUGAGGGAGGAGCAGUGCCCCAAUCGCCUUUAUACAGGGGUCUGUGGGAGGAGCCACAGGAGCAGUCAGCAGAGGGGCUCGUCCAGACAGGUAUACAUAGUUUACCACAGUAUUUAAAUACUUUUUAUCCUGUAUGGUGAUGUGCUACACACAAAAAGUUAUAUAACAUAUUUAAAGUUGUGCAGUUGUUAAAUUUGGUGCUGUAAAGGAUUCUAUCCAUGAAUUAAGUUCUGCAACUUCAUUGAAUUCCAGACUUGAUAUACACUGAGUGCUGGCACUGCAAAAUUAGAAGUUCAAAGCCAAGUUAUUAUCAAAAAUCACUGUAUACUACCUGGAGAUUCAUUUUGUUGCAGGUAUUCACGAUUAAAAUGAAGAAAUACAAUAGUAUCAAUGAAAAACUACAUAGAAACACUGACAAGCAACCAAUGUGCAAAAGAAGAUGAACUGAAAACACACAAAAAAGCAAAUAAUAAUAAUAAUAAAUAAACAGAGCAAACUAGGAGUUUCAGAAAAAAGCUCCAUAGGGAGUAGUUAAGAAACUAAUCACUUUACUGGAAAUUACGUUAGAAGUUGAAUCCUUUGUAGUAAUUAUAAUGCAAGAAAUGGAGCUCGAAAAUGAUAGUUCUUGGGCAAUAUGCCAAAAGCUCUUUUUUAUGACCCUAUCUACCAACAGGAGCUCAAGAGAUGCCACUAUGAUUUAUGUAGAGCUAUCAAGUUGGAAAAAUGGCAGCACAGCAACAAAAUCCAGUCACAACUCUGCGACAAUGACACACCCAGUGAAUGACAAGGACUGCGCACCAUCACGGACUUCAAGAAGUAAUGCAGCAGUACAGCCAAUAUUGCCACUUCACACCCACACAAGCUGAAUAUUUUUUUACGCUCGAUUUGAGGUGAAUAAGACUGAAUCCCUGAGGAGAGUGCCAACAAGACCUGCUCCUUGGCAUUUUCUGAGGCUGAGGUACGUAGAACAUUCCCAUUCCAAUGGGGCUGGACAUUUUGAAUCUCUCCCUCUCAGUGUGUAUUACUCUUCUGUUUCAAAUUGUCCAUCAUUGUCCCCAUACCUAAGAAAACCAAGAUAGCAUGGUUGAACAAUUGGCACCCUGUCGCACUCACCUCAAUUAUAAACAAAUGCUUUGAGAGGCUGGUUAAAGACCACAUCUGCAGCAUGCUACCACCCACACUAGACCCAGCUAGCUGAGCCACUCCUCUAAGUUCCACGACCUGUUGGAUGGUCUAUAGUACAGACCCAUACAUUUCUUAUUCCUCAGUCCUAAGCAUAAAACCUCACAAGAUGAGCUCUCCAGUCUGUCCUGACAGUGCCAUAACAUUUUCCCUGACUAGUAAUGCCACCCAUUCCCCUUUAAUUCCUCCUGGUCUAUCAUUCUUAAACAACUGAACCCCAGAACACUGAACUGCUAGUCCUGUGUCACCUACAACCAAGUCUCACUAAUGGCUACAAUGUCAUAAUUCCAUGUGCUGAUCCAUACCCUAAACUCAUCCACCUUUCCGACAAUACUCCUUGCUUUGAUAUACACACAGCUCAGAAAAUUAGUCCCUCCAUGCCCGACCUUUUGAUUCCUGACUUUGUAUGUAGAUUUAACAUCUUUCUCCACAACCACUCCAUUAUCUGUUCUGGCAUUCAGGUUCCCAUCACCCUGCAAUUCUAGUUUAACCCUUGCCUCCCAUGCAGCACUAGCAAACCUUCCUACUGGGUAUGACAAUAGUCCCACUUCCGUUCAGGUGCAAACUGUCCAUUCUGAAAAGAGUUCAAUGAUCCAAAUACCUGAAGCCCUAACAUAUAGAUAAGGAAUAGUAAUUAAACCUUUAAUUCAAACUGUAUAACUGGCUUUUGCCAGCUAUGGAAAAAAUAAUUGUAUAAAGAAUAUAUUAAGGUUCCCUAUGUACUGUUCACUUGAAACUAAAUUACUUCUAAUUACUUUUGUCUAAAGAUCAAUCUUUUCACAGUGUUUGCUUCUAGUCUCAUGAUUCCCAAGUUUUUCCAUCUGACUUCCUGUGUCUGGGUCAACCAGAACAAAUGCCAAUCCUUUACAACAACAGAACAAGACUGAUCUUUAUUUGUACAGCACCUUUAACUUGCAUGAGUAUUAUCAACUAAAAUCUGACAACUGACAUAGGAGACAUUGGGUAGAUAAAAAGCUUAGGCAUAGGUAGGCUGUAAAAGAGAAAAUUAAGGGAACAAUGCAAAGAAGUUAUGAGGAAUUUCCUUAUACAAUUGAAAACAUGGCUACUAAUAGUAGUGCCAUGUCAUAUGGAGCAAAACUACAAAAAGUUGAAAUGGUUUCUUCACAUGGAACAAUAGUUAGCAAGAAUAGGUGAAUGGGACCUUGGAGACAGCAGCAGAAUUUUGAAUGUCAUCAAGGUUAGAAGCAGGAAGAGUAAAGCUGACAGAAGUAGAUUGCACUAGUGAUGCCUAGAGGUAUUUAAGCAUUCAGUUUAUAAAACCAUAAGACAUAAGAGCAAAAUUAGGCCAUUCAGCCCAUCAAAUAUUCAGGGGGGUGCAUCAGGUGAAUUAAUACAGGGACAGCGUUGGGAGGUGCUUUGACCAUGAGGCAUAGAUAUUUGUCAUAAUCUUCUCUCAAGCUAAUAUAUCUCAGUAAAGUUGCAACUGUCUUGUUCAGCUACCUGGGUGACUUCCAGUGAAUGGAGUUUCAAUGGGGAGAAAACACUGGCUUCAGAUUUUCCAAUAAAGAGUCCAGAGUAAGUACUGGUGAGGUUUAUUGGUAAAUGUUAUCAGAUUAUUUGUGAAAAAUGACAUUAUGCUUUCUUACAAUUUUACUGAGGAGCAACAUGAAGAUCCUUUGGGGGUAGAGCUAUCACGCAUAACUGUGCUAGGUGACUGGAGAGGUUAGAAUAAAGUAAGUGUCUUCCUGCACAUCUGGACAACAGUUGGCUGAGAUGAUGAGGAAGAAUAGAUAACCGUGUCACUAUCGUAUUAUGAAAUUUAUAAGAGAUGUUUUGGUUCUAUGACAAGGUAGCAAACUUCAUUGUAUGUGAAUCAAUGGUCCUUUUCAAAGGGGAGUCAAGCUAAUUAAUUAUUACUUACAGCCUAUGGAGCUACAAGUAUAACAUUUUUCUGUCAUGUUUUAUUGUAUUGUGACAGCUUUUAAUUUUCCCAUCUGCUUAUCCCUCUCUCACGUUAUCUCCUUGCCCUCCCAUCCUCCCUCUGGUGCUCCUCCCACACCACUCCCUUUCUUUCUUUCAUGGUCUUCUGUCUCUUUCACCAAUCAACUUCCUAGCUCUUUGCUUCAUCCUUCCUCCUCCAAGUCCAUAUCCAAAAUGUAGAAAACCUGGGUAACAUUUUCUGGGCAUAGCGGCAGGCCUUUCCUUCUCCAUAGCAGAAUGACCCCACUAGCAAUCAAAAGCAGUUUUCCACCUCUGGCAGCAGAGUGAUCCCCCCAGUGAUAAAAAGGCAGGCAGCUGAUGGUCACCUUCCGCAUUCACCUCAAUAUUCAAUCUCCCUCAUCGCUUUAAUCAGCGCUCAAUGGAAGAUUUAAUCAGUGAAAUAGAUUUAAAUAUAGGCUCAUGCCCCAUCCCACAGCCCCCUUACCUCAAGGUUCCUGCCCAAUGCCUCUUCUCCUGGAAUCCCCUUGAAGACUGCAGAGCACCGAAAUGCACAAAUGAUCUCCAAACUGCAAACCACAGGAUCUGAGAGUUCUAGAUUCACAUUCAAGAUGAAAAACAAAUGUAAACAACAUAAAAGAAGUGAAAUAUAUGUUUACAUGAUCUAUCCAGAAGAUGUCAACCAAAGAUGAGUUGAACGCAGGUGCCAUCUUGACCGGAAAAGCUGCCAUUAAAUUGGAAAGAAUUCAGAAGGGAUUUACGAGUAUGUUGCAGGAACUUGAGACAUUAAGUCAUGGAGAGAGGUUGAACAGGUUGGGACAUUUUACUCUGGGGAAAUACAAUAUGUAGAGGUGUAUAAAACUAUGAAGGGCAUAUAGGGUGAAUGCCCACAAUCCUUAUCCUUGUGGCAAAUCAAGAACUAAACGGCAUAGGUUUAAGGUGAGGGGACGGCGAUUUAACUGGAACUUGGGGGGAGCCUUUUUAUGCAGAAAGUGGUCUGUAUAUAGAAUAAACUGCAGAGGAAGUAGUUGAGGAAGGUAUAUUAACAAUAUUCAAAAGGUACUUGGACAGGUAAAUAAAUAGAGGGAUAUGGACCAAAUACAGGCAAAUUAGACUAGCUUUGAUAGGAAACUUGGUCAGCAUGGAUCAGUUAGGCCAAAGGGCCUGUUGCCAAACCAUAUGAUUCUACAAUUUUAAUCUCCAUUUCAGCUAUCCAAGGCAGUUAUUUAAUUAGGGGUCAUCAGUGGAUUUGUGGCUCAAAUUUUAUAUCUAAAUCAUCAGGUUGUUUUCCCAAUCAAAUAGAGAUUCAGAGAUAGGCAUGCUCAUGAAUGUCUUUUUUCUGCUCUUGUGUUUGGGUAUAUGUACUGUUGUUUGGAAUAAACCCCCUUUAUAAGAUGUAGCAAUAUUUUAAUGUACAUUAUUAAAAUAAUUAACUUCCCUGCAAACUUCAUGUGAAGAUGUCAACCAUGUUGAUAUAAAUAUAACUUGUUCAAGUGUAUCAUCCACCAGUAUAUCUUCAUGUGUAUAUUAUAUGACCCAAAAUUUUCUCUGCUGCAGUUGCCAUUGAACCAGGGAUCCCCAGAGAAAAUGAUGAGCAUUGCAGAGCUGGGUGCUACAACCUCUCCCUAACAGUUUUCUUCUGUGCUCCUGCAUUUGAUAAUGGACACCUUAACCAAUACAAUACUCACAAUGCCAACUAUUAAUGACAUUUACACAGACAGGUGCGUAAAAAAGGAUCAUUGGCGAUCCGAGUCACCCCACACAAACUGUUCCAGCUGCUACAUCUAGGAAACGGUACCACAGCAUCACAGCAUAAAAGCUGGGACCAAUAGGCUCCAGGGACAGCUUCUUUCACCAGACCAUCAGACUGCUUAAUUCAUGCUGACACAACUGUAUUUCUAUGUUAUAUGGACGGUCCUGUUGUAUAUACUAUUUAUUAAAAAUUACUAUAAAUUGAACAUUUAGAAGGAGACACAAUGUAAAGAUUUUUACUCUUCAUGUAUGUGAAGGAUGCAAGAAAUAAAGUUAAUUCAAUUGUUAUAAGUAAGUCAUCAAAAUGUCAGCUUUUGUUGAGUAAUGUCCCUGGCAGCUUCACUUAAGGCAUUAUGUUAUGGAUUGCUAAUAUUGUGUAUUUAUGAUGGUAGGAUAAUUGACUAUUCCCAUCUAUGAAAAUUACUGAUUGAAAUCUUCAUUUAAAAUCUGAAGUAAAUCUUACUUUUACCAUCAAGCACUAAGGAAAUUAGAAUUCAGGACUGAAUAAUUCAUUUUUAUUCUGCUCUUCCCAAAAGUGAGUACCUAUUGGCCAAGUCUAUGAUCUUAAUGUAUUUUUCUUCUCACAGUAAUCUGAGGUGAUGUGUCCUGAAUAAAACAAUAGAUCCAUCUGUAAUUUUCUGGAGUGCAUGUUCCUUGACUCUUUAUGUAAUGAUGAAUAUGAAAAUGAGACUAUCAAACAGGUUAUUCAGAUAAAUAUUUGUAGAAACAAGGUAUAACUGGGUUUGAUAUCCCUUCAUAAAAAGACUAAACAAAAAAUAAUGCAAAUGCUCUGAAUCUAAAAUAAAUAUCAAAAAUUUAGGAAAUACUAAGCAGGUUAAGCGGCAUUUGUGGAGAAUGGAACAGUUUAUAUUAUGGGUAAAUGGGCUUCCUUCAGACCUGAAAAGAUUAAAAAUCAAAUAAAUUAUUUGUUACAGGAAUGUAGAACAGACAUGAUAGAAGGAAAGGGAUGGGACAGAGUGGAGUCCAGCCCCCUGAGUCCAUGAGCUUUGAGAGGAGCGUUGAUAGAACCACUUUCUGUUGGAGUUCAUGCAUGCUGCAGAGGAGGAGUAACAACUGGCAGCAAAGAUUUUAUUUUAGGAGCAGGCAAACAAUCAAUUUGGCAGCCCAUGUUUUGCAUUUUUAUCUUUUUAAAAAUGCCCUGAAAAGAUGGACAAUUUAACUGGCAGAUGCAGAUGUUUUCAGUCAUCUAUUUUUUUCUGAAAAUUUGGUGCCUCUGAAUCUGUUACUAAGGUUUACUUUGUGUGGAAUCAUCUAUUGACUCAGAUUAAAUUGUACAGGAUUGUUGCUCUGAUCUUUCAAAGUUAAGUCAAUAUUUAUUUGUUCAUGACAAUUUUAGGUCAGACCUGGAGCCCAUGAUCUAGGCAGUAGUGCUUCAAUAUUUUCAAAUAUUAUUGGUCAGAUUGUUCAGGCUGAUAUUAACAAUCCUCAAACAUUAUUUGAAGAAAAAAAUUAUCAAGUAUUAUUUCAGUGCAGAUUAACAAUGGUUCCUCAUCAACACAUUCUAUAAAACAUCUGGUCGUAAAACUUGUUAACUAUUUGAGCAACUAACCAAAUUAAGCUUUGCAUGCAUAAUAAUUGUGACUAGGUGAAUUACAAGAAUUUGAGAAGUAAAAAAAGAAACAAAUGAAGAAUGUUGGAAUGAGCCAUAUGAGAGAUCCCUCCUCAUUAUUCUGAACUCUAGCAAGUACAAGCCCAGAGCCAUCAAACACUCAUAUGUGCUAGUCCUUUUGUUCCUGCAAUUAUUCUUAGUGAACCACCUCUAGGCCAUCUCCAAUUCCAGCACAUCCUUUCUUAGUUAAGGGGCCCAAAAUGGCUCACAGUACUCCAAAAGUGGUCUGACCAGUGCCGUAUAAAGUCACAGCAUUACAUCCUUGCUUUUAUAUUCUAAUCCCCUUGAAUUGAAUGCUAACAUUGCAUUUGCCUUCUUUACCACUGACUCAGCAAGUUAACCUUUAGUGAAUCCUGCACUAGGACCACCAAGUUCCUUUGCACCCCCAAUUUUUGAGUUUAUUCUUUGUUUACAAAAUAGUCUACACCUUCAUUUCUACCAAAGUGCAUAACCAUCUGCCGUUUUUUUGCCCAUUCUCCUAAUCUGUCUAAAUCCUUCUGCAGACUCCCUGCUUCCACAACACUCUCUGCACCUCCAACUAUCUUCAAAUCAUCUGCAAACUUGGCAACAAAUCCAUCAUUCCAUCAUACAGAUGAUUGAAGUAUAAUGUGAAAAGAGGUGUUCCCAACACAGACCCCUGUGCAACUCCACUAGUUACCAGCAGCCAGCCAGCAAAGGCCCCCUCUAUUCCCACUCUUUGCCUUAUAGGAACUAUUACAACUUGGGGACACAUGAAGCCAGACUGGCACUCCCAUAGUGUAUGGAAGGGAUCCCUGCUAGUAUCCCCUUCCAUUCAGCUUUGGACAACACCUCUCUCGUGUAUUUAUAGUUCCAGAAAUUCCUGACAAAUCAAUUAUAAUGCUUACAAAUAACUUCUACUGUAAGUAUAAGAACUGGAGAAAUUAAUUCACCUUUUUACUAAAAUUAAUUGCUGUCAAAAGACCUGGUACCAGAAAAAUUUGUCCUAUCCUGCCCAUAUUGUUUUUCUUAACUUGACUUUUUGUGUAUAUAUUUUACGAGGUGUUACGUCAGUGUUACGUCAGACACCUCCUUUGUGAGAAUAGCCAGAUCACUGUUGGGUUGAGUCAAAAGGGGGCCCAAGACAUGAGGGGGAGACGUGCAGGAUGUCACGUUUCUCCCCCCCCCCCCAUAGCGAUGUAAAGCUACGGGACAUGGCCAUUGUCUCUUGGAGACAGAUUUGUGGAUUGAGAUGCUCUGCUACGUGAAUGCCCUCGGGCAAAGUGGGCUGGUUGAGGGAGAGAUUGCAUCACCCCCAACCUGAUUGACAUCUACGACCCUGCGAGUCAGAAUAAAAGAGGGGCUGUAGGAACAACCCCUCAGACGCACCAGAAGAAACGAUAAGCGACCACGUAACAGCAGACGGUCAUCGGAAACCAAGCCACGUGCGUUCAAUUCCGUGGCUGGAAUUGGUGGCUGAAAACACGAAAAACAGCUUUUUAGCUAACAACGGGGAAACCCGCUCCCCUGACUCAAUGGAUUGGCAUCAUAAAAGACUUGGGCAAGUUUAAAUGCCUCCCUCUCUUAAAUCCAAAACGCUGCAGCCUGAACGAGCUAAUGACUUUUAUAUUUCCAUCGGACAAUACAUUAUCCCCUAGACAAUGAUAGAGUUACGUUUUAUUGGUUAUGAUCAUACUUGCGCUUUAGAUUUAGUAUUGACGACAUAUAUUAUCUGUAUGUUUGCAUUAAUCUUAUUUUUGUGCCCCUUUAUCAAUAAAUACUUUUAAAAAUAGUACCAUCAGACUUCAACGGACCUCUCUAUCUUUGCUGGUAAGUGAUCCAGUUACAGGAUUUCGUAACAGUGGCAAUUGGGCUUAUGAAUCUGCUGAUUUCCAAGGUUUUAAUCUGUGGUAAGUUGUUUGUAUAAUUUUAGGUACAUACAAUAAGAAAUUCUAGGUCAAGAAAAUGCCUUUUAACACAUUGUGUGCUCCACUCAGAAUCUAUAUGCUAUUAUUCUGUUGUAGACUUUAAAAAUGACGAUUGAUCAGUCAUUGCUAUGGCUGUACAUGGGGGGGGGGGGAACACAUAACCUAAAAUUACUGUAUAUAUUUAAAUGCCACAGAGCUUUUGUUCUCUAUUACUGCCUUUGGUUCAUAAAGUUCCCUCACAUACUUUUACCAUAGGGUCCCUAUAAAAGAUGUCAUUUUCUCCAUAGGGUCUUUGUCAUAUUUAUGAGUAAAGCUAAUCAAAGCUAUUUCUGUGUACAAUAUUAAAAUGUAUCCUUAAACUGUUUACUUUUUUCCAUUCUCAUUUUGUCUUUAAUAAAAUUAUACUGUAUCCUAAUAGUACAGAGACAUUACCUCAGUUGGCUAUAAUUAACAAAUGGAGAGCCUAUGAUUAAAUAAAUUCAUAACUAGGCUUCAACGCAGUACAAUUGUAUUUUGGAAGAUUAUGAGACCAUAAGAUAAAGGAGCAGCAUUAGGCCAUUCGGCCCAUUGAGUUUGCUCCACCAUUCCAUUGUGACUGAUCCCUCUCAACUCCAUUCUCCCAUAACCAUCCACACCUUUACGAAUCAAGAAAUAUCAACCUCCGCUUUAAAUAUACCCAAUGACUUGGUCUUCAUAAGACAAAUUUCUUUAGGCAGAAUAUGGUGAAUCAGUGGCAAUGAAUUCUAUAGAUUCAUUCCCUUCUGCCUAAAGAAAUUUCUCCUCAUCUCUAUUCUAAAGAUACUUUGCUUUAUUCUGAGGCUCUGUCUUUUGGUCAUAGUCUCCCUCACCAGAGGAAACAUUCUCUCAACAUCCACUCUAUCUAGUCCUUUAAAUAUUCAAUAGGUUUUAAUGGCAGCAUCCCACCCCCUUUCUUCUAAACUCCAGCAAAUACAGACACAGAGCCAUCAAAUGCUCCUUUUACAUUAACACAUUUUAGUUCUGAUGGUCUUUCUUGUGUAAUCCUCUGGAAACCCUCGAAACCUGCUUUCAAUACACCAAUUGCAGACUGAGCAAUGCCCUAUAAAGCCUCAACAUUAUAUAUUUAUCAUUUCCCAUAAUC